rnacentral:ncRNA from 1 species
CCGGCUGUUCCAUCAGCCGUUCCCUACCCAGACAUGCUGAGCCGGCAACAGCUUGGUGUGAAGCUCGGGGACAAUGUAACCGCCGAUCUUCGGUACGCUAACCCGCGAGGGACAGCGGAAUCUGCCAGCACAAGGGCGGAGAGGGGC